GGGGGUUUCCCAAAGCAAAGCCAUGAACAAAAGAGCCUCGCAGAAAUAUAAGCUAAAAAUACACCACUGUUUUUUACACCUUAAGACGGCCUGAAAACUGAUUCCUGCUCCAAGCCUUCAGGGUUGUCCCCCACUAAAUCCCUCUCUGACUCAAACAGUUUGAAAAUGUCGAAUUGUUUUGGGGAGUUUUUAAUGUUUUGUUUCAGACCGAUAAGUUAUGAAUGAGGAGCGAGGAUUGAGAUUUGAAAUUCAUGAUUUUUUUAUCAGUGUUCCUCACACAAGAUGUGCUUCUUUUCUCAGCUGACAGUGUUUCCAGGAGAGGUUACUGUGGUAUUCACUGUUACAUAACCUUGUAUCUGCACUUAAUGCCUGGCAUUGGUGUAUAUUUUGCCCGUCUGUAGUCUGAGUAUCUAGUCUGAAGCCUUAUCUAAAAAUCAUUGCUAACACACUGUUUCUACCCGUUAACAAAUGACGGAUUCUUUUAUAUUUCAGCAGCAUGACUCAUGUUGCUUCAGGGAUAGCAAUGAUAUGUCUGUUACUCCAUUACUUCCAUCCCAAAUGAAAUAUCGAAACAAUCCUUGCUAAUCUUUUCCUGUUGGAUGAACACUGAUUGAAAUUUUGAUUGGCGUUCAUGUUUCCCAGAAGUUAAACCCCACGCUCUUUGACCGGUCUUUGACAUUUUCUCGAGUUCUGCCUCAAAAGGUUGAACUGUUUCUAUUCAAGUUAACCUAGCUACACAGUGAUUGAAAGCCCUGUUUUGACAGCCACUAAUUGUGCCCAGAGGAUUAACCCCAACACUCCCAGAUGGUGAAUCCAACUUUGCCAAAACCCUUUGCGAAUAUGAGAACAUCAAAUCGCUGAAAGCUUUCAAAUGUGGUGUGAUAUAUCUCAGAGAGUUUGGAAUUGAGUUUGCCUUCUAAUGGUGCAUUCGAGAUACCUCGGAAGUCUGAUGUCUGAGCUGGGAAUGACGUCACACCCGAGUUACCAGCGUUACAGUUAACAAGUUGGAAAAAAAGCAAAAUUAGAGACUGAAACAAGAUGACUACAUCUAUGAAAGUCAUUUUAGCACUUGCCUUGUCCGAAUAUAACAAGGACAAGCAAGCGCUAAAAUAACUUUCGUAGGUAUAGCUAUCUUGUUUCCGCCUUCGAUUUUGCUUUUUUCCAACUUGGUACUGGUAACUCACAUGUGGCAUCAUUCCCAGCUUGGACAUCUGACUUCCAAGGUAACUCGAACACAGUUUAGCUUGCACUAGCUUUAUGUUGGUUCCUGCACCCGUAGAAAAGUUUCGUAAGCAUUAGCGGCCUGGUAACAAUUUCUUAAGUUAGGAAGUGCGAGUCCCCCAACUGAUCUAUGCUUUUGCAAUAACACUUUUGUAAUUCUUGAGGUUUUGCCUUGCCAUAGAAAGGAUGAGAUGAGGUUGUUUGUUUUCUGAAAAACUGGUAAGCAUUGGAAAGGUACAGUAAACUUCGGAGUAUGCUCAUUUUUAAGAAGUUACCAAGUUGGAAAAAAGCAAAAUCGGAGGCGGAAACAAGAUGACUACAUCUAUGAAAGUCAUUUUAGCACUUGCCUUUUCCUAAUAUAACAAGGACAAGCAAGCGCUAAAAUAACUUUCGUAGGUAUAGCUAUCUUGUUUCCGCCUUCGAUUUUGCUUUUUUCCAACUUGGUACUGGUAACUCACAUGUGGCAUCAUUCCCAGCUUGGACAUCUGACUUCCAAGGUAACCCGAACGCAACAUAACUAGCACCACCUUUAUGUUGAUUCCUGCACCCGUAGAAUAGUUUCGUGAGUAUUUGCGGCCUGGUAACAAUUUCUUAAGUUAGGAAGUGCCAGUCCCCCUACUGAUCUAUGCUUUUGCAAUAACAUUUGUGUAAUUCUUGGGGUUUUGCCUUGCCAUCGAAAGGAUAAGAUUGGGUUGUUUAUUUUCCGAAAACUUGUUAGCAUUGAAAAGUCACAGUAAACUUCAGAGUAUGCUCAUUUUUAAGAAGUUUAUUUUCGACCCAACUCAACUCAUCUUUAUUUAUAAAGCACUUUAGUCAGCAGUCUUUAUAUGUGCUGUAGAUUAUUCCGUCUUUACGGGUGGGAAAUUGAUCUCAUAAAAGCUUUUUCUAGCAUAUUUCCACAUCUAAAUAUUUGAAAUAGCUUCAACAUAGUUUAAAAGACUUACACUUGGUCAGGAUGAGAGUGCACAGUGGAGCUCUGCGCAGCAAAGAGUGAAGAAGCUGAUUUCUCGUUUCCACAAUCUGAAGCGAAAUGAGAAGGAACUGUACAAAUCUGCAAGACUUUAUGAGCACGUUUGCACUGCAGUACUAUAAAUAAAUUAUUCUUUGUGAACCAGACCUUAAGAUGGAAAAGACAGCAGGGCAACUGAUUCAAAAUUUUGAGUGUUUAUUGGCAGCUGUGAUUUAUUCUAAUUGAAAACCUCCUUAUAAAGGGGAUAUUUAAUGUCGUAGCAGAUUUUGCCUCAUAAUCACCAGGCCUCCUCUGUGUCACAUCCCCCAGAGAGCCACCUGGUAGAAACAGAGUUGAGGGAUGACUAAUAUCAGUUCAAGUACAUUAUUUUCAUGUCACAUCAAACUUCUGGGAAGAAGAAAAAAAUGAAGUACUUCCCAAAAGCUUGGCUCAUUGUUGGACGAGAAAUACACACCCCCGCUAGUUUCUGAGCAGCUGACGGGUUCCAGCUACUCAGAGGUUGGAUUUGUAGAAGCUCAAGUAUAUUGAAUUUGCAGCCCACAAUACAGAUUGUGAAAAGCUGCCAUUGCACGGCAAUCAAUAGAGGUAAGGCUUUGCAUAUCCAGUCAAGAGGGCGAGAAGUAAAACGAGAGUGGGAGAAAUGGUGAGUGAAAAAGAGUCGUGAUCAUUGUGCUUUCUCCAUAUGUGAGACCAGGCUUCUAAUUUCACAAUGUUUUGCUUGGUGGAUUAAAUAUUCUAUUAUAGAGACCUUUUUUUAAGCAGCCCAAUCGAAUUGCUGGAGGAGAAAAAGAGGAAAUGGGGAGAUAGCGGGGAGGCCAGUCAGGGUGAGAAGGCAGAAAUGUUUCAAAAAGAUUGAAAAAAAUCAUUCCUGGGGUUUAUUCAACUCAUAUCACUCCAUCCUAUUCGGGCUUAUAUUUGGGCUUCAAAAAGAAAGUGGGAGGAGUGAGAGGAGGCACACAAAGGACAAGGAUAAAGAUGGGAUCAGAUGGAGGUGAGGGAGGAGAGCGGGCAUUGAGUGGAAGCUUAUCGGCGUAACGCACACCUGGCCCAAUGUCCUCUUCUUCUUCUUAUGUCUAAGAGAUGAAAGCUCCUAAAGGCCAAUCGCUACCCAGAGGUCAGCAUCCUCACUUUACCCAGACUCCUCCUGUGUAUCAUUCAAACCCCUACUAUCUGGUUUGUUGCUCUUGAGGUUUGGAGCCUCUGUUCUCUUGUGUCCCCUCGAGCGGAAAAUCAGAUGCCUGUAUAGCAGAUGUUAAUAUUUCAUCGCUGUCUGUGAAAAUUAAGCAGCCGUAGUGCGUAAUGAAACCACGCACGGACAAGAAGGAUGUGUACUGAUCUGUUUCAGGCUUUGUUGGUUAAAUUUUAAACUGCAGUAGUGCCUUCACCUGAUUUGAUGAAUGUGUGUUACUGAGUCUGUGUUAUAUCACUUUAGAAGACAGUGUUUAAUAUUUUACUGACACUCAAACGUUGUUGACGUUUUUAGGUUCAUCAGUGCGGUCCCACAUCAUGAAAUAUUCUCAGUGUAUGGAAAAGAAUCAGUCUCACAAUGUGAGUAAAAUAAAGUCAGAGCAUUUGGGCACAACGUCAAGUUUCUUCAUAGCAGCUGUUGGCUUAAGAGUCUGGUCUUGCCCCAACUUGCACAUUGAACUGGCUAUGACAAAGGGUCAGUAUUUGAUGUUGUAAGUUGGGAUAGGAGAGGAAGGGAUGAGAGGAUUAAAUAUCACUCAUUGGAUUGUAACGUCCAAUCCCUGAAUGGGUCAAGCUCUUUAAAAGUCAAAGAAGUACACUUCCUUUUUCUAUUUUGGCUUUAACGCAUCAUGUCUUGCACAAUCAACACCACCAGUUUUUAUUCUAUAGUGAAAAUGUAGCUCCUAGAUUUUCUGUAAUCCUGUCGGCGAACAUUAUAAAAACAAAAAAGGAAGAAGGAAAAACCGUCUUUGUCAAGAUUUUAAGCGGCUUACCGCAGGAUUCCCAAAGCUGUUAUCUGCACGCUCUUAAAAUGACAACAAACUGUGUCAGAAGUUGCUCUCAUCAUCAGCGGUGAUGGUUUCUGAGAUUGCUGUCAUCUCAGCAGGAUGUUGUGAUGUUGAGUGUGGAGGACGUUUAUAGGCUUCGCGGGGUUUGGAGACAGUCAGACUCACAAACAUGGAGUGUUUACAUGCGCAGCAUUUCAUCUGGAGACAGAACACAUGCUUCUAACCGCCCUUGACACGUAGUUUCUGCAGUUUCCGUUGAUCAAAGGGCAAAACUGUGAAAGAAAGAAAGAACAGGGGGAUGGAGUGUGUGGAUGUGUGUGGGCUUGAAUUUUGAAUUACAAUCAACUCCCAGGAAAAAGUAUUAGUUAUUUGAGUUUCUUUUUCUUCUUUAGAACAUCAUUUGUAACAAAUGCCCUUUAUUGCACUCAAUAUAAACCUAAUAUAACACCCAACAUCCUUUAUUAUGCAAUGUAGCCCCUUUAUUUCACCCAUUUAAACCCAAUAUAAACCCUUUAAAACACCCAUUAUUAUACCUAAAAUACACCUUUAUAACACCCUUUAUUAUACCCAAUAUAAACCUUUAAUCUCACCCUUUGUCAUACCAAAUAUAAACCUUUAAUAUCACCCUUUGUUAUACCAAAUAUAAACCUUCUAUAACAGCCUUUAUUACAUCCUUUGUUAUGCCCGAUAUAGCCCCUGUAUUACACCCAUUAUGAAACUCAAUAUAAACCUUUUAUAUCACACUUUGUUGUACCAAAUAUAAACCCUCUAUAACACCCUUUAUUACACUCUUUAGUAUACCUUUUAUGACAACCCUUUUUACACCCUAUAGUGCACCCUUUAUAACAACCCUUAUAAUACCCUGCACGAUACUCUUUAUAACAACCUUUAGGAGCCCUUCUUCUCACCCUAUAUAACACCCAUUAUAAAACUCUUAUAAUGGGUUUACCAAAGGGUGUCCUAAGGUCUUAUGAAGGUUGCUAUAAGGGUGUUAUAACACCCUUUAACAAAUCCAUUAUAACACUCUUUAUGACACCCAAUAUAAACCUUUUAUAUCACCCUUUGUAAUACCAAAUGUAAACCCUCUAAACACCCUUUAUUAAACACUUCAGUAAACCCUCUGUAACAACCUAUAUUACAUCAUUUUUAACACACUUUAAUACACAUGUUAUAACAAUGCUUAUAACACCCUUCAUGAUACUCUUUAUAACAACCUUUAAUUACAACCUUAAGACACCCUUCAUAGCACCCUAUAUAACACCCAUUGUAACACUCGUAUCAUGGGUUUACUAAAGGGUGUCCUAAGGUCUGAAGAAGGUUGUUAUAAGGGUGUUAUAACACCCUUUAUGACAUCCAUUAGGAUACCCUUUAUCAAAUAUUCUCUAAAAAUAGUUAAAUUGUAUUAUUUAGUUAUUAAAUUAGUGGCAAUACUCCAUGUAUUUCUUCAUAAGUUGAAGUUUUUCCAGUGCCAUGCAGCCUUGGCCUGAAUCAACCUGUUUUCAACGUGAUUGCUGUGCCAAAAGAUGGUGCAUCGUAAAAAAGAUAAAAAAAAUAAAAGCCUUUUGAGCAUAGUUGCCUGUCCCCAAUUACAAGCAGAUCAGCAAACAAAGUUUUACAGUUUAUAUAUUCCAUAUAACCAUCCAGCCAGUUGUCGGGUUUGCUUUAUAGUGGGUAUCAUGGAGUUAAAUCUCCUCAGGGUACUUUACAUUUUCCCAAUAGCAGGAAACUUAAAGCCAAUUCAUUUGUUUAUUAUCAGCCAAAGUAAUAAUUCCUCUAGUAAUUCUAAUCAGACUGUAUUUUUAGCUUGUUUUAACAGUAAUGAAACAAAUGCUAAAACACCAACAGCCAGACAGUCAGUAUCAUGGCUGCGGCCUUUGAGGACUCGCUCACACUUUCCUCUGGCGGAGCUUUCAACUUGUCCGAUAUUUAAAGCAUUUCCAUGUUGUUGGGUUGGAGCUGAGCAGGUGUUAAGGCUGACAACAGAGCUGAGUUUGCUGACUUAAACCGAAACUUGACACAUAAGAUCAUCUGGGAGCGGUGGUUGGUGCUUCUUCCAUCACUCCCAGUCUUGCACUGCAAACUCAAAUCAGCAGAAAUGGGAAAUUAUCAAAAGGAAUCAUGUUCACCUGCAGCAGGAGCUUUUAUACUAUUUUGCUCGGCAGCAUAGCAAUUGUGCCUCAUCACCACGGCGCUGAAACACCCCAGGGAGGCAGGAUGAUAUAAAAGCGUAUUGUGAUUGUUCAAUUCUGUAAUAUAAAUAGAAAUCAUCCCCAGAGGAAAUGAUGGCAUGGCGCGCUCCAUUGUAUUACUCUAAAAGAGGAAAAGUUGCGUCCUUGUGGACAUACAGCUGUUUGAUUGCAUCAUAUACCAGAGGCUUUCUGUGUAAAUGUGUCAAGACAGCUUGCAGACAGCCAACAAGAGACUCGCCAAUGAAUGACCCCCAUUUCGCCCUUAAAAGGUAAUUAUAGGCCUCUGAUGUACCUUGGCGACUAAUUUCUCCUCCUAAAGGCCUGAGGGGGAGGGUGUUGGCAUAAAUGUGCUACUAUACAAUGCUUUAGAAAAAACAACUGUGAAUACAUUGAAGGGAGGAGGAUGAGGGGAGAAGAAACGAAGGGCCUGGACAUACUGAGCGUUAAUAUUUUAUACCCUCGGCCUGCGUUUGUCUCUCUCUCCAUUUUUCUCAAGUUUAAUAAACGUCAGGGACACGUGAGCGAGACAGAAGGAGAAAGGGGGGGGCUGCACAUACGCAUCCUAUGGUGCACUCAUUUCUAUUUUUAGACCGGGCUCUCUAAUGGCCCUUUUUUUUUUAACAAGCUGAACUAUCAGAACACAUGCACCUUAUUUUUUGGGACUUUUUGCCGCUUGUUAUAGAGGAAAUGUUUUAUUUGCACUGUCAAAAGUGCAAGUGACCAUGUCAGGGUUUUAUUAAAACAAUAUUUUCAGCAAUAUUGUAAACAAACGCAGACUCUGUUGCGUAUUUUUGCCUCUCGUCUCGUAAAGAAGGUGGCAGGGUCUAUUACAGGACGUCAUGUAAUGUUGCGGUGAGUGGGAGCCUGUUAUGCCAGCUCUGAAGCAUUACAUAACUCAGCCGGAGCUUCAUCCUGCAAAGUCACAAACAAAAACUGACUCCAUCGAAGGGCGGAUUAAUAUUUGACCCAAAUGCUGGAGAGUGCUAUCAGAUUAGACGCUGCUUCACUUAGGUAGGUUUUCAAACGUAACACUGGGGUGCAUCCGAAAUCGCCCAGAAGGGAGGCUUUAUUUAUAAAUGGUGAAACCUGUAUCACAUCGGUCAAUAAGGAUCUCGAAAUAAACCCGAAAAGAGGACUCCCCCUCUCUUUCCUGCACAUCUAUUUGUGGACCAGAUCAAUCCCAGCCCUGCACGGCAAUAACUGGGAGCUCAGACAGCUCAUCUGCACAAUCAGACUCAUAAAUUAGGGCAAUGAAGCUGCGUUUUGCACUUGAAUCUAAUGAACAGGCUGUGCUUUGAGAUUUAAGGCGGCAAAUGAUUUGCAAUUCAUGACGCUAUCAGCUGCCGCGAUCCGUUCUCUUUGAAUUCGUGUCUCAGUAAAUUGAUUUAAGCCAGGUCGCUUUAUUUUUUGAGAACAAAAUCAGAUUAAUUCUUUUAAUCGAGAUGAUAUUUCUCAAAGUGAAAACAGAAACUCUCAGGUCAGACUUCACAGCAGCUGUAGCUCUUAACCGGAUGUCAUUUUGGCCCUAAUACCUCCUAAUUGAGCAUCAGCUUUCAUCCUAGACCUAUUUAAGUAACGUGGUAACUGGAGUAUGCAUAGAGUAAACAACAUCUCAAAAAGACAGGAGGAGUGUGGGCCGUGCAAAUAAAUGUAGAGACUGGCUUCAGUUCUCCACCAGAUGGUUAAAGGUUCAAAAGCAGACACAACACUUAUGAAAUAAAGAGUUCCCCUUGAACAAAUUUGGUCCCAGCUUUCUUUUAUAGCAAUGUUGGUGAGUAGGCGGAUGUGCGAACUGCCGGAGAAGCACAUUUGUGCUCUCUGUUUGGCUGGACGUGACAUCAGCUUGGAGCAACCACGUAAAAACCGAAUCACAAAUUCGUAUGUGAGGGGGAGAAUGACCGAGCGUACUCAACAAAUGUGGCCCUGGCAGUGAUAGUAAAACCCGAAUCACGAACUUCGAUGUUGGGAAUACAGAACCCACUUGCAACAAGAGUGUCCGGUACUUUCACGAAAGU